GGGGUGUGGAAUUAGGUACUUGCAGUUCCCGUUCUAAGCGGAAUGCGGGUAACGGCGUCGGCAACUAUUGUAACCGAAGUGAAUGUUUAACGACGGGACUACGGUCCCAGCCAAAAAGCAAAAGCCACGCUUGCUGUCAGAAGUGGGAUUCGAACCCACGCCUCCAGGGGAGACUGCGACCUGAACGCAGCGCCUUAGACCGCUCGGCCAUCCUGACUGCCGCGAAAGCGCGCUUUGCCAAAAGCCUUGGGAAGCUAUGGCCGAAGCUUCUGCGGACAACGCAAUGUGCACGUUCUGCGGCGGGCUGCGGAGCCGAGCUCUGCAAACUGCGCAGAGACCCGGAAGGGGAAGCUGGAAUAGGAGCAGGGCCUCGGACCGCUGGGGAGCCUGGCACGCCGCCCCCAGGGCCGAGAAUUGGCCGGGCUGGGGGCGAAACCGGUGCGAGAGAGACGGAUUGCAACUUGCGCAAAGUGAUGUCGUGCCGGUUAGGUUGCGCCUCCUGCGGCCCGCCGGGAGGGGCGUUUCUGCUUGGUAAAAAUCAUGGGCUGAUUUGUCAGCGUUGCCCCCCGCCCUCCCCCUCCCCCCCGCCCUCCCCUCCCCCUCCCCCACACCUUUAUUACACAGUGAGAAACUGAGGCCUCGUCAAUGGCAGAAGAAAACAGGAAAAGCCUUUUGUUUCUACAACCGCAAAGAAUUCACAAACAAAAAAAAAAGAGAGAGAGGAAGAAGAAACAACCAGGAGUGAGACGAUCUGAAGCGCAUUUUAUGAGUAAAUAAGGAACACAACCUACGGACCGCGGCGGCUCUGGAUGCCUUUUCGCCGACUUUCCCAUCGAGCACCGUUGCCAGUGUGGGCAACCAUUUGAGCAAUCCCGGGGGGCGGGGGCGGCCGCCGGCGGGGACGCGGGGGAAGGGAAAGGAGAUGGAGAGGCGUCGUCUGCAUCGCUAACGUUUCCUCCUUCUCUUUAACUGUCGUCAGACAACAAGGCAAUAAUUCGGGUCCGGGCUUGCCGCGCGUGCCGGUUUCCCCGGUGCUAAUUAAUACGUGAGAAAGUUGAACGAUGUAACUUAGUGCUUGAAGGGCCGGCUCCAGCUUAUCCUUGAAUGGCCACCUUCCCCUCCCCCCGUUUAGAAAUUCCCAGUGGAAAACUUUUUCCCAAUACCUUCUACCGAAGGAGUUCUUCGCCUUGUUUAAGUCAUGGCCUCCUUUGGCAGGUUGGUGAAUGUUAAAGACCGAGGAAUAGUGUUUUUAAGUUAAUAAAAUACAUAGGGUUACAAAGAAAACUAUUCGAUUGAAAAAUAGAUACUUAAUAAUAGAUCCCCCAUCCAGGCUACAGACUUCCUGAAUUCUACCCACAGAGCACAAGAAGCCCGAGGAUCCAAAACGCAGAAGGGCGGGCUUUAGAUCCGAGGCCGGCGCUGAUCCCAGAUCCAAACGGAUCCACUCUUGCUUUCUGGGCGAGGCGGCCUCCGUGCGGAGUCUCUCCGCGUGAAUAAUGAGGUCCUGAGUGGUGUUGGGCAGAGAGACCGAAGGACUGACCCCUGAGACGGGCAGCAAGAAGGCGCGGAGACAUCAGUGGGAAGUGUUUCUCAGCUGAAAGAUGAUGACGGCGGAUAUCCACGAUCUCUUCAGAAACACAGAUUGGUGGGCAGUCUUGGUCGUAGCAAUCGGCUUGAAUUCAAGAUUAAAAAAAAUCCAUUAUAGCAAACUGAGGCCUUUAAUCUGGGGAGGUGAGCUAUACCUGGAGUGUCACGCAGCAAGUGCUAGGAUACUGGAGGAGGGGGGCUGGGGCUGGGAUUUAGAUAGGGCUCUAAGGCAGAGGGAAGGGCCAAGGUGCAGGGGGAACAGUUUAGACAAAGGGAGAGGGGCUGCAGGUGCCAAGGGAUCGGGACAUACUUUGGUUUCACUAAGUAAGUUGUUUUGUAUAACACCUGAAAGUUCAUAAAGAAAACUCGGGAAUCCUGGAGAGGAAAAUUUAGGACAUUUUCAAGAUAGAGGCUGGGAGUGUUAACAACUGGUCAUCCUUAGGCAAUUUAUGGGUCUGAGAAUGGGGACAAGGUCUGAUUCAGUCAGCUGAGUUGGACAUACCUGUUGGAAUCUUUUACAAAGUGUGAAGACAUUGGAGUUGAUUUGAUCUGAUUUUGGGCCAGAACUUGAAACAAGGUAUUAGGUGGAACUGAUUGAACAAUGCUUGUGUUCACACCUUUAGAGAGCUCAGGUAUCUAAGUACUCAGUGGAGUUCACACGAGAGUUCAGGGCUAGUAUGAGAGCUGAAUUCACAUCUCCCUUAGGACCAGAGAGCACUCUGGGAGAUAACCCAUAAUCCCUGCCUCGAGAAGGCAGAGUUAACCUUUGGGAGAUCACAUAAAUGAAGGAAGCUCCUGGAGCAAAGGAGGAUUUUCUCCGGAACAUCAACAGGGCUCUGAGACAGAACACUCUGGAAGAAAAGACUACUGGCCACAGACUGGAGAUGGAGAAGCCACGAGUCAGAGCUGACUAGAGGCUGAAGAAAGCAGAGGCAGAAGCCAAAGGCAAAACUGCAAGAUCCCUUGGAGCCAGGCAGAGUUAGGCCUCAACUAACCAGGCUGAUUUGUAAAGAGAAAUAAACGUUUGCAAUUUUUAGCAGCUGGCUGAGAUUUUGGAUUAAUUAUUUAUUGCAGCUGAGACUGAGGAAAACCACCAACACAUACCCAAGCAUCAGCAGGUAGGAUAGAAAC
rnacentral:tRNA from 1 species